rnacentral:rRNA from 2 species
ACAUAAGUAACGAUAAAGCGGGUGAAAAGCCCGCUCGCCGGAAGACCAAGGGUUCCUGUCCAACGUUAAUCGGGGCAGGGUGAGUCGACCCCUAAGGCGAGGCCGAAAGGCGUAGUCGAUGGGAAACAGGUUAAUAUUCCUGUACUUGGUGUUACUGCGAAGGGGGGACGGAGAAGGCUAUGUUGGCCGGGCGACGGUUGUCCCGGUUUAAGCGUGUAGGUGUGUGUUCCAGGUAAAUCCGGUUCACUUUAACACUGAGGCGUGA